rnacentral:hammerhead_ribozyme from 1 species
AUCCAGAUGACGAAUCCAAAAUAGGACGAAAUUUGCAUCCUGAAU